rnacentral:rRNA from 1 species
AAACCUAAAGGCGCAAUGAAAGUGAAGGUCCCGCCUCGUGCGGACCGAGGGAAGAUGGGCCGCGCUGCUGUGCGGCUCCGCAUUCCCGGGGCGUCUCGUUCUCAUUGCGAGUUGAGGCGCACCCAGAGCGUACACGUUGGGACCCGAAAGAUGGUGAACUAUGCCUGGCCAGGACGAAGUCAGGGGAAACCCUGAUGGAGGUCCGUAGCGAUUCUGACGUGCAAAUCGAUCGUCGGAGCUGGGUAUAGGGGCGAAAGACUAAUCGAACCAUCUAGUAGCUGGUUCCCUCCGAAGUUUCCCUCAGGAUAGCUGGUGCUCGAACGAGUCUCAUCCGGUCAAGCGAAUGAUUAGAGGCCUUGGGGCCGAAACGACCUCAACCUAUUCUCAAACUUUAAAUGGGUGAGAUCUCCGGCUUGCUUAAAACAUUUUUGAAGCCGCGAGAUUWAUUUUCUUGGAUCGGAGUGCCAAGUGGGCCACUUUUGG